AUCUGAUUCACAGUUUGCUGUCGGUAGCUCCGCAUUUCUGAUUUCCCAAGGUUCAGCUCGACCCCUCCUGCACAGACGUCACUGCGUAGAGGUCGCUGCGACGCUGGGCCGUGAUCGGGAUCUGCUGCCGGAUGUCGGCCAAAUGCUGCAGGUCUGGGGACGGAUGACGCAGGUUUAAUGCAAACUCAUAACAUAUAGAAAGUGGAAACAGUGAUGAGAAUGUUUCAACUUGGUCAUUUUUUAGUCUGUAGUUUUUCAUUUUCGUUUUAUAUUUUAUCCCCUCUUUGUAUAUACAGGGGCGGGCAGACUAAAAACCAUCUCUACAUAAAGAAAAAGUUACUCUCCCAGUCUGAUCAAAGAUAUUUCAGACACACAUGAAAAGGCCAGACAGAUGAUGUGGCACCCUGAGCGUGUCGCUAAUACUUUGCCACAACAAAGUGAUGAGAUGCAUCUGUGACAUUAUCAUCGGGGCAGAUGUGUAAUUUUCCUCAGUGUCAUCGUGCAGCUCGUAAAAAAAACAAAAAAACGUUGUAAAACAGGAGCGACUGAGUUGGAUCAUCCUGAUAACGAGCCAACUGCUCUCCCACUCACCGAUAUCGGCGUAAAUCACGGCCUCCUCUGCUCCGGCCUUGGAGAUCACUUCUCCCCUGCAAUGACGGAAAGGAAAUAAAAAAAUGAUCACAACUCUGCAACACCUAAAAAAAAAAUCCACAGAUGGACAAAGACAAUAUGUAGUGGGUCAUUAUAGGAGAAGUAGAGACAUUACUGUAAUGCUACUGUAAAUUACAUUUAUAAUGUAAUUUGUAAUGACUAAUGUAUUUGAGAACAAUUUGAGGUAAACUAGUAUUUAAACUUUACGCCAGUUUAUACAUUUACUUCAGUCCAUUUUAAAAGGGAACUUUUUGACUAUAAGUACUUCACAAGUACUUAAGUAAAUUAAACAACAGUACAUACAUCUAUAAAACUGGCUCCAACAGUCCUCAGUAAGAAUGGAAUAAUAUUUCACAUAUGGGAUAACAUUUCUCCUGCGUGAUAAAUAUGAAUAAUCUGAUGCUUUAGUAAAACUUUAACCUUGUUGUAUUUCUAUUUUUACCGGCAGGUAAGUGAUCUGUACUUCUUCCACCACUGCUGCUUCUCCUGCUCCUGCUCACUUUUGGACUUUGGGCAUCCAUCCAGCCUAACUGCACACACGUGACCCGCCUCUGAUUCGUAGCUCACAGCUCGCUCGCUGCCCAUUGUCGUAGCACUCGAUCUCCCCUUCUAACUUUCCUCUCUCGCUUUUCACGGCGCAUUACACGAUCACACAACAAACGACAACGCGAUCCUGUAUCCUUACCACGGGUUCACGACAGUGCUGUGACCCCAGGCGACAUACGAAGAGGUCUCAUCUCUGGCAGGCGACGCUGUGGCCACGAACACUUGGUUAUCAACCGCCCUGCACAGGAGACAUCAACAAGUUUGGACAGAGACAGGAGUGUGAGCCUGACCUCCCCCUCUGCAGGAGCUCCCAGUGCGCCGGACCAGUCGUCAUGUUGAAGGCUCCAGGGUAGACCAGCAGCUGACAGCCUGGGGACAGGAGGACACACCCAGUCAGCUCAAUUACACACAACUAAACACAUGACACAUGAGCCGUCACCUCGGCCACUCACCUUUUCUGCUGUAGAGCUGCGCAAGUUCUGCGAACCUCAUAUCGUAGCAGAUCCCCACUCCCACUUUACAGAAUGCUGCAGAGGGAAACCCGAGGGAAAACCAAACGGAUCAAAGUGAUGCUCAUCCGGCUGUUGGGGAACAAAUCAGGGGUCGGCAGGCGUCACUCACGUGUUUCGAACAUGGACAAACUGUUGCCUGGACUCAGUGUCUCAGACUCCUGGAAGCGAAUCUUUCCGGGAACGUCGAUGUCGAAGAGGUGAAUCUUCACAGAGAAAACAUUGAGAGUUGAAGAGAAGGACUUUGAAGUUGCUAAUGUCCUGCUUUAAUCUCAUUAAGGUCAUGAAGCUCAUAAGUAAUAUGUAGUGCACUUAAACCUUUCUGUGUUUAAGAAUCAGCUCUCCAUCAGGCCCAAACACAGCACAGCUGUUAUACAACUUCCCACCGUCCUCUUCAGGGAUCGAUCCUGGUGAACACGGAGUCACAUGGUCAAUUCCUCCACUCAACGAAAACAUGUAAUGGUUUUUUAUUUUUCAACUUUUGUUUUGUAUAUCGUUUAAGUUCCGUAAGAUCAGUCUCCCACUUCCUCUUCUGUUUUUCAGUGACAUAUUAUACUUUAUAUGUAUAUGUAAUUUAUAGGUUUUUAAUCCCAAAAACGUAGCUUUUUUUAAAUGGAAGGUCUCCCUAUAAUACUGUAAAAUCUUGUAAUGUACUUCGGAGUUGAGCAGGAUUUAAAUUUGAAGUGAGGCACAGUGGACAGAAACACUGUCGCUCCUCUCUGAACCGCAGUGUGUUGGUCAGUGCCUCCCUACCUCCCACUAGAUACACCUUGUUCUCCUUGGCGACCUCUGACAGCACCUGGGUGGACUCUCCUGGGAUCCUCUCGGCAUACUCAGAGAAGAAGUUGGUUCCAUAUGGAGAGUUGAAGCAUUCCUGUGGCAAAGUGAGAGACUAUUGGUUUUACAGCGAAAGGUGAAGUGUGACUGGAAUCCCGGACCCAGACUGCAGCAAGGAGUUUGGUAUUUGAUUUCCUUUGGCUUGACAGUUUAACAGUGUUGCCCCAAAUUGCUGAUUCGGGCCAAUGCACAUCUAAGACUCGCCUAGAUGUAGUUGCGGACUAUCUCCGAGGAGACCGGGGUGCGUGGGCAGCACAGGGGAACAACACCGCUGCAGAGAAGUGGAUCUCUUCAGAUGUGAUCACCGGUGGGAAGGAUCGUGUCUUUGAAUUGGACUCUGGACUUGCCUUCAGCCCCCCCCCCCCAAGUCUGUCUUAAAAUUUAACUCGUAUGUAAAUAGAUAACCGACACUGAAAAAUGUUACAUCUGUGUUAUUCCACUCCUCAGUAACUGGUUGACAAGAAAUUCCACUUUGUGUUUUCAUUUUUCACUAAAAAAGACUAACUUU